UUUCUACUCCCUCCGUCCGAAAAUACUUGUCAUCAAAAUGGAUAAAAAGAGAUGUAUCUAAAACUAAAAUAUGUCUAGAUACAUUUCCUUUUAUCCAUUUUGAUGACAAGUAUUUACGGACGGAGGGAGUAUUUG
rnacentral:pre_miRNA from 1 species